GAUGAACGCUAGCUACAGGCUUAACACAUGCAAGUCGAGGGGAAACGACAUCGAAAGCUUGCUUUUGAUGGGCGUCGACCGGCGCACGGGUGAGUAACGCGUAUCCAACCUGCCCACCACUUGGGGAUAACCUUGCGAAAGUAAGACUAAUACCCAAUGACGUCUCUAGAAGACAUCUGAAAGAGAUUAAAGAUUUAUCGGUGAUGGAUGGGGAUGCGUCUGAUUAGCUUGUUGGCGGGGUAACGGCCCACCAAGGCAACGAUCAGUAGGGGUUCUGAGAGGAAGGUCCCCCACAUUGGAACUGAGACACGGUCCAAACUCCUACGGGAGGCAGCAGUGAGGAAUAUUGGUCAAUGGACGAGAGUCUGAACCAGCCAAGUAGCGUGCAGGAAGACGGCCCUAUGGGUUGUAAACUGCUUUAUAAGGGAAUAAAGUUAGUCUCGUGAGACUUUUUGCAUGUACCUUAUGAAUAAGGACCGGCUAAUUCCGUG
rnacentral:rRNA from 1 species